rnacentral:lncRNA from 10 species
GGGAAGUCGGUGGACCCUGCAGGCCAGUGGGGAGGAAAAUUCCAGGCCCAGAGGGCCAAGCUGGUGAAUCCUACUUAGAGAAGAAAUAAUAGGAAUCCAGCCACUCAGACGAUGGACGAGGAGGGGCACUUCCCUGCUCGAUGUAUGGGCCAGCAUUGCCUUGAUAGCAAAGUCAGACAUCACCAGACAGUAGAACCACAGACCAAUGUCUUUCAUGAACCAAGACACAGCAUUUAAAAAAAUUAGCAAAUGGAAUUUAUAUCUGCCUAUUGUUUACAAAAAAAGCCAAACUUUGUAAAAU